rnacentral:rRNA from 1 species
CCUACGGGUGGCAGCAGUGAGGAAUAUUGGUCAAUGGGCGCGAGCCUGAACCAGCCCAGUAGCGUGAAGGAUGACUGCCCUACGGGUUGUAAACUUCUUUUAUAAAGGCAUACAGUCAGGCACGUGUGCCUUUUUGUAUGUACUUUAUGAAUAAGGAUCGGCUAACUCCGUGCCAGCAGCCGCGGUAAUACGGAGGCUCCGAGCGUUAUCCGGAUUUAUUGGGUUUAAAGGUAGCGUAGAUGGGUUGUUAAGUCAGUUGUUAAAGUUUGCGGCUCAAACGUAAAAUUGCAAUUGAUACUGGCAGUCUUGAGUACAGUUGAGGUAGGCGGAAUUCGUGGUGUAGCGGUGAAAUGCUUAGAUAUCACGAAGAACUCCGAGUGCGAAGGCAGCUUACUAAACUGCCACUGACAUUGAUGCUCGAAAGUGUGGGUAUCAAACAGGAUGAGAUACCCUGGUAGUC